AUUGAACGCUGGCGGAAUGCUUUACACAUGCAAGUCGAACGGCAGCACGGACUUCGGUCUGGUGGCGAGUGGCGAACGGGUGAGUAAUACAUCGGAACGUGCCCAAUCGUGGGGGAUAACGUAGCGAAAGCUACGCUAAUACCGCAUACGAUCUAAGGAUGAAAGCGGGGGAUCGCAAGACCUCGCGCGAAUGGAGCGGCCGAUGGCAGAUUAGGUAGUUGGUAGGGUAAAGGCCUACCAAGCCGACGAUCUGUAGCUGGUCUGAGAGGAUGAUCAGCCACACUGGGACUGAGACACGGCCCAGACUCCUACGGGAGGCAGCAGCGGGGAAUUUUGGAGAAUGGACGCAAGUCUGAUCCAGCCAUUCCGCGUGCAGGAUGAAGGCCCUCGGGUUGUAAACUGCUUUUGUACAGAACGAAAAGGCUCUGGUUAAUACCUGGGGCUCAUGACGGUACUGUAAGAAUAAGCACCGGCUAACUACGUGCCAGCCGCCGCAGUAACAC
rnacentral:rRNA from 1 species